UCCCUGGUGGUCCAGUGGUUAGGACUCCACACUUCCACUACUGAGGGUGUGGGUUCAAUCCCUGGUCAGGGAA
rnacentral:tRNA from 1 species